rnacentral:rRNA from 1 species
UGUCCUACGGGGGGCGGCAGUGGGGAAUCUUGCGCAAUGGGCGGAAGCCUGACGCAGCGACGCCGCGUGCGGGACGAAGGCCUUCGGGUCGUAAACCGCUUUCAGCAGGGACGAGGCCCUCACGGUGACGGUACCUGCAGAAGAAGCCCCGGCUAACUACGUGCCAGCAGCCGCGGAAAUACGUAGAGAGCGAGCGUUAUCCGGAUUCAUUGGGCGUAAAGCGCGCGUAGGCGGCCUGUUAGGUCGGGGGUCAAAUACCGGGGCACAACCCCGGUCCGCCCCCGUUCCCUGCAGGCAUGAGUCUG